ACAACUUUCACAGGCAGAAGGUUCUAGCUGCUUCCCUCCUUCCACCUCGAGAGGCUUUGAAUCAAGUCACCUGCUGUGACCUGGGAGAGAGAGGCCCAGCUGCAUUUGCUGGGAAACCCCACUUUCUACCUUGGAUCUCCUCCACUUCCAUUCAUUCUCCUUGCCUGCAGACUGAGCUUUCUCUUCGCCCGCCCCCCCCCCCCCCCAGCCCAUAUUGGCCCUCAGAAUUCCAUCCUGGUCUUUGUGCCCUGGAGCGGGUGUCCAUCCAUCCGGGUGCCUGCAACACUCCAUUAAUGCACCCACAGCCGGCCUCCUGGACAGAGAGUAGUCACCUGCCUGACUGCUCAGGAAUGACCCUUGUGCCUGCCUUCCUGCAUCAGACCUUUGAGCUAGCAUGUGGCUUAGCCCUCAGUGCCCCGCAAGAAGCGGGUCUCACCCCUCCAUCGGACAGCUCUCACACCUGUGGGGCCCAGCUCCCUUCCCCACACCACUUUCAGACCCCAAGACUCCCCCUCCAAGUGACCCCUCCUACAACUCAGGGUGUGCAGUUACAAACCAGUCACCAGGUUGUCCACAGAAUGACUGGAAUGGGGGAAGAACUGACUCUUUGCAAGGAAGAGAGGAAGAACAAAAAGAAGAGUUCUGAAACUCACAGAGGUGCCGGAAGGAUCUAGGGGUAGAUGUGGCAGAGAGAACUGGAAAAGUCCGAGAAAGCUUUCAAACCCAGGCCUGUCAAGGCCCCUCGGGCUCUGACUGCCCCACCACACACUCACAUCCUCACACACAUCCAUCCGCCGUGGGCACGCUGGGCACACGCUCGGCCCCCAGCGCCCGGCACAGGUCAGUCGGCUUCACAGCCCCCUCAGGCCCUGGGGAGCCCCACAGAGCUCCUGUUGGUUUCUAUUGUAUUCAGGCUUCUCCCUUGCUAUCCAGUCCUUCUUGCCUGUAUGUUUCUGUCUCUCUCUCUCUAUCCCCCUGUCCCCAUGUUCUUCCCCUGGGUCCCAGCUCGCCCCUGUCCCCUGUGCCUGUCUCUCCCAUCCCCUGUUCCCUCCUCUGUGCCUUCCUCUUCACUCCCUUCACUUUCUAGACUUUUUUCCUCAGGCUCACUCUGUCUCGUUCUGACUUUCCCCUCUGUCUCCAGGGUGCGGGCAUACUUCCCAGCUGCCCCUACCCAAACCAGGCUGGAGAGUGAGUGCGGGGAAUGGGCCGCUCCUUCCCUCUUUCAGAGCCUGACCAUCUGGCCCGACGCCCUGGAGCCGGCCUGCUGAGCUGACCCAGCAGCCUCUGCUUUUUUGGCAGGAGAGGCACCCGGGGCCCUGCCGAGCAGCACCCCUCUGCCUCACCCAGUAGGCAGAAAGCGAGGGUGAGACGGAGCCCGUGGGUGACAUCGACAGCUGAGAGGGAGAGACGCAGGCUCUUUUCAGGAAAUUAAGUAUGAAUCAAAGCUCAGCAACGUGCAUCCAUAUGGAAUUUUGGAGCCUUUAUGUCCACUGCAGAAUUUAACAAAGCUGAGAAGACCAAGAAGAAACAACACCCCUAUAGCAAUGUGCACAGCUAGAACCAAGAUCUUGGUUAGUGAACUGGGCUUCUAGAAGAAAUUGCUGACUUCAGUGCCACAGCAGGAAGUAAGCAAGAUGAGCCUGGAUCAGAAAGACUCAUCAGACUCUUGGUUUCAGCUCAAGUCACGAUCCCACGGGUUGUGAGAUCAAGCCCCACGUCAGGCACUGCAGUUAUAGCAUGCAGCCUAC